GUGACAAGAACAGGGAGGAAGGAGCAGCGAAAGCCGAUGGAGGAAUGAGAGAAGGCUUCCUGGUCCAGGGAAAGCAAUGGCCCCGGAUGAGGGAUCAUCACGCAGGAGACCCCAGCUCUGAGGACUCAGAGGACUCUGACAUUACAUCAAGGUGAAAUGUUGCUAAAGACCAGAAGGGACUGUUCCUGAUGCAUAAAUGCCUCGCUCACCAGAGACAUUAAAAUGAAGUAAGACAUCAGAAGACCCUGUGCUGAUGGUGAAGGGCAAGGAUUCACAUUAAGCAGAGGGACCAGGAGUUAGUGAGUCUAUGUGGUGUCCCGUCCAGCACCGUGACUGCAUUUUAGCUAGGGACCUCAGUAACUCAAG